GUCCCAAUGAGAGAAACUCCCUUCAGUCUGACCUUUGGGAUGGAAGCUGUAAUACCCGUCGAGAUUGUGGUUCCAUCGGUGAGGACCGAGAACUUCGAUGAGCAGACCAACUCAGAGAGAUUGCAUGCAAACCUAGAUUUACUCGAGGAAGAUAGGGAGAGGGUGCGUGUCCGAAUGGCUGCUUAUCAGCAUAAGGUCGUCUGGUACUACAAUAUCAGGGUCCGAAACAAGGUCUUCAGGAUCGAUGAUUUGGUAUUGUGCAAGACAGGAGUAUCACAACC
rnacentral:lncRNA from 1 species